CCGCCUCCGCAGUGAGCGUCGCGACGCCUGACGAGCGCCGUUAGCCGCGAUCGCACGAUCUUCGAUCCCGGGCACGAGGCCCAGAAAAUCGGAACGCGCGUGCUGCCCGAAGCGCAGAGAUCAUCCGUACGAGUGCCGGGGUGAAAGAAAUUCGGCGAUACAAAUUCGUCCGUGUAAUUUCAAUCUCGUGAUUUUAAAAUACGGAUAACGCUCUGCGCGUUCUCGAUCGCUCGGAGAAUUGCUGUCGUAUUUAUUAUCGCUGUUGUUGUUGUUAUUAUUAUUAUUAUUGUCGUUUUAACGAGUAAUCGAGAUUGUGUUUGAUAAUAUACGUACGUAGUGUAUACCUGGGUAUAUACGAUUAUAAACGUAUGAAAACGAAAGAAGAAGAUGAAAGAAGACAAGAAAAUAACGAAUGUUUCGAUACUCGCGCCAAAAUUGAGGUGGUGAUCCGUUUUCGAUACACAAACUGCUCGCUGAUCGACGAACUGCCAGAGUUUCGAAAAAGAAGCUGAGCGUUCCCGAUGGCCAAGUUUUUCCGAACUAUCAGCUGGCUCGUCAUCGUAAAGAGUCUUGAAGAUAUACGGGAACGCCGUUAACGUCAUACCGACUAUAAAAUUUAUCCGAUGCAGGAUAAGGAGCUGACGCAAACGUAUCGGCUGAAAAACCUCGCCGGGAAUCCGGUGCUGCAAUCCUUAACGACAAACCCAUCGAACCGGUGCUGAUUCCGCACCUCGACGAUCAGCGGAAAUACGACGUCGCUACUUCAAAAAUGGACGGAUGUGGCGCGUCCAGCUGCCGCUGCGGGCUGCUUCCGGUUCUGCGGGGAAGAAGCUUGGAUCGAAUCUCCGCAAGCGCCGAUUAAUCAGCGUCCUUUCCUCUCGUUCCUCCGAAAUACGGCGGAUCGGAAUCGGUGGAUUUUAACGGACAAUGCAAAGCCCGGAAUUAACAGAGAAAAAGUUUUUCAGGGUAAAACCUUUCCUUGUCACCGAACGGGCGGAGUAAUCGCUGUGAUAUAUGGCUCUUCCAUUCCUGCCGGUUAACGAGUCCCGCAAAGAAUGAUGCCGAGGCGAUUCACAAUCGUGUGAAUGAACACAUCUGGCCGAAUCGAACGACGACUUUUCCUACUUCAGGUGAACACUGGCUUCGCACCACCCGGACGAUACUUUCGACUUUUUUUUUCCUUCUUCCAAGAUGAAUUACGAAGACGAUAUACGAGGAGGGCGGAGUGUGAAUGCGAGGGAAAGAUGAAGAAUCGAGGGGAUCAGGCUGCGGUUGACUCUCUCGUCGGUGCCUGCAAGUGAUUUUCACAAACGGCGAAAACGUUCUCCGGUUGGUGAAUCUGGCGACCUAGCCGGAGUCAUCGGAAUGUCGUUCGAUGAGUUUUGGAACGGACUGGAAUUGAAGCGUUCUCGAAGAAUUUUGCCCGGCAGAGCGAGAAUUAUUCGUGCCGAAAGAAUUAGAAACUCUCGACGGUCCAAGAAAAACGCGGUGGCCUUACGUCUUUGUCACGUUGUUUCUAAUACCGUGGAGUAAUCGAAUCCUAACGAUGCAGCUGCAUCAAUACGCAUACAGUGAUGUGAGACUAUCGGAAAAACUGAAUUCUCUAAUGCGACGAUUUUUCUAGGGCGACAAUAAAAACUCACCGUGUAAAAAGAUGCGAUAAAAUAGCACCAUAUGUACUUUACUCUUUCUUUAGGUAACGAACGAAGCUCUGUAAUGCAUUCGACGUAUCCAACUAUCGUCAAUUGUAUUCCAGCGAUAACUGCAAGGAGCUUUGUCCGAGCCGUUGAUAUGCACUGAGAACCAACAUCUGACACGCGAUAAUAUUGAUGGGUGGGUGUAUUUACGAGAACGAAGGAAAUGCGCUUUGCAUGUUCAGAGUUCUGAGAAAAGAACACUGCACUGUCUCUCGUCAAGCUUGGCAUCGAUAUCCCCUAAUGAUUAAUCAUCCCCCAUAGGUAGAAAUACAUUGCAAUAAAAAUCGUCCUGGUACAUUCAUCCCAAGAAAUCGAAUGAAUUCACCUACUGAACGAGAAUAAAAUGUAAGAAAUAGAAAUUGUCUCUCUUGGUAUCGUCUUUCUUUUUCACGAUCAAUAAUUACGUACGUAAUAUGUAAUCAUGUAAUCGCCGAUGCGGCAAUUCUCCCUCUUGGGGUAGUAAAUGUGUGAAAGCGUUGGCGAAUAUGGUAUUUAACAUUGUUCAAUGUAGCAGGAAAUUUAAUUUUAUUGUCAGCUGCGAGCAAUUUAUGAGUUGCGAGUGAUUUGCAAUUAUGAAAUGUGGUAUGAUUUGAAAAUUUAUAUCCAAAAUAGCGAAGUCCUGCAGGAACACCGGACAAUUUAAAUAUCACUAUCGCAAUGAGGAGCGUCAGAAUCUCUUUUGUUUUUGUUAGUAUUCGUAAAACACGUAAUGAAAUUAAACCAUCGUUACAAAGAUCAAAAAUUUUAUUUUCCCUGUUGAAAAAAUUGAUCGUUGUAAAGAAAAUAGAGAAAAACAGAAACCGGACUUCGAUCAAGUCCGGAACGUUUGCGGAAAUCUUUGUGAUCACGGCGAUACUGCGGAAACGAAAAAUAAAAUUUUUUUUUUCAAAAUUAGUGAACCGUUCGUCUGAUUCACGGGUUAUUGUAUCGUGCCGGUUGUCGAGUUGAUCUGACGACGAAGCUGAAUAACGCAUGAAGUGUUAUACCAUGUGCAAUUGAACAGUGAAUAAAAUAAACAUAUACAUGUAUAAUAUAUGCCAUAACUUUGUCUAUUCAUGUAUAAUUAGCGAGUAACUUUUUACAUUAUAAUUGUUAUACCGAACACAUUAUGUAUAUUGAAGUAUCGAGGAUAUAAUCUAUAUUCAUAUGUAUUGGUAUGUAGAUUGAAGUUCGAAGAAAAGAGAGAUUCAACUAUGUAUACAUACAUAUUGUAUGUAUAUGUAUAUUAAAGGGACAGAGGAGAUGGUAUCGUUUUGUAAAUAUGCUAAACACGCGACAAGCUGAAUAUUUAUAAUAACUUACACAUGAUACAUUUAUUACGUUCGUGAAUUGAUUAUACCUACCGCAUGACAAAAUAUACCGCAUAGCUGCCGCAGUGACAGAGUUAAAUACGCAUUGCACAAUAGUAUCGUUAAUACAAGUUUAUAUUGUCGUUGUGCAGAAAGGAGAUAUUACUUUGAAUGUCGAUUAAUUCUAAGUUGAACAACGACCGUAUAAUCGCCGCAGGUAUACAUAUACAGCUGAUCCAUACAUAAAUAAUUGAGUCAAAUAACUUGGAGAAAAUGAAACCCGUUGUUUUCGAUUAAUGAUCGUUAUUAGUCGCGGAUAAAUGAAUAAAUUUUCUAAAUCGUGUAAGAACGCGAUGGAGAAUAAUUGAUUGGUGAAAAUAAAAAUAAAAAACUUGUGCAUCUGAGGGAAGAUAAGGAUGAGAAAUUGAACAAGUAUAAAUAGACAAAUAAAUAGAGGAAUAGAUGAUUAAAAAAAAAAAUAAAUAAAAAAAUAAAAAAAGCGCGCAAGACAGGGUAGAUAUUAAAUACAUUAUAGGGACCACCGCUGUGAUCCAAGGACCGCACGGA